UACGUAUGUCGCAAGCGUUAUCCGGAAUCACUGGGCAUAAAGGGCGUCUAGGCGGAUUAUUAAGUCAGAGUUGAAAGGUAGCGGCUCAACCGUUAGACUGGCUUUGAAACUGAUAAUCUAGAGUAUGGAAGAGGAGGGCGGAACUACAAGUGUAGAGGUGAAAUUCGUAGAUAUUUGUAGGAAUGCCGAUGACGAAGGUAGCUCUCUGGUCCAAAACUGACGCUGAAGCGCGAAAGCUAGGGGAGCGAACAGG
rnacentral:rRNA from 1 species